GCGCGCGUAGCUCAGUUGGACCAGAGCAGCCGGCCUCUACCCGGCGGGUCGGGGGUUCGAGUCCCUCCGCGCGCA
rnacentral:tRNA from 1 species